AUGGAUAACAGAAGAAUAGUAGGACGAAUUUCCAAUUCGAGAUCUAGGAAUUCAAAAAAAGCACCUUUGACACUGAAAUGGGGUGGACGUCCUUAUAAGAAUAAGAAUAAGGUGAUUAACAUACCAGAAAAUACAAAGCUAGUUAAUGGGAUACUAGUUGCCAAAGAUGAAGGUAAGACAGUAAGUGCUAGUAACUUGAAUAUCAAAAAUCUUAUUGUUGUCAAUGAAGGAACUCAAUUCCUAUGUUCCAAAAAAAGGCGCUCGAAACAAACAGGUACCAAACCUCAGUGUAAUGAAGAAAAUUCAGCUUCAGAAAAUUCUCUUGAGUUAUUCAAUGGAUACUCUCCAAUGAAUGAUCUUUGGUUUUCUCCAUUGCAGGUUUUUGGAAGUCCUGGUCUCACUGAACUUUUUUCUUUCUACGUGCAAGAGACAUCACAAAUAUUUAUUGUAUCCAAUAGUGGUAAUACUGUGAACCCAUUCAAAACCACUCUCCCUCAAAUGGCGAUAGAGAAUAAAAUCGUCAUGAAAUUACUAGCUGUCUUGGGCGGUCAACAUAGAAAGAAGUUCGGGUACCAGACGGACAGAAUAGAAGAAGACAAAGUGAUGAAGCAACUAUACGAUGAAAGUUUAUUAGAGUUGGAGAGAAGGGUCGUAGAUCCGCAAGAGAAAUUCAGCUUUGUUACUCUAGCAUGUAUAUUGAUUCUAGCCUCCAUAGACAUUUUCUUUGAUCAAAAGCAGGGACUUUGGAGGACUCACCUUUAUGGAGCAAAAGACAUACUUUUAGAGAAGUUGAAAAGGAACAGCGAGUGGACUGACGUGGUAAGUCAAAGACAAAAAAUAUCUUACAGUGUAGGGGAGGAUAGAGAGAGCUUCUUAACUAGGUGGUUUAUGUACCUCAAUGUGAUCAGUUUACUGUCGUCUCCGAAAGCCACAAGGCAGGCAGAGAUCUUCCAGCAAAUGGACUUAGAUUUUUGUCCUUCUGCUGACAGAAAUAACAAUUUGCUAGCCAGAGAGGACUUAAAAGAUAUCCAACCCACUAGUGGGAUGGAACCACGUAUUUUGGCAUAUCUAUCCAGAAUUUCACAAAUGGUUUUCGAGAAAGACAAAAUUACUUCUGCUAACGGCAUGGAAGAGCUAAUGACACAGGCCAUUGAGUUGGAUUACGAAAUCUCUAACUAUCUUGUCACCAGUGAGAGGGAAAGAGAUGAAGUGCUUAAAAGUGUCCAACCAACAACCAAGAAUUUGCGUAUCUAUCAAUUCUUGAGAUGUACAAAUCUAUUAUUCGGCCUCACUGCGCUUCUACUGCUGCGACGCAGAAUACUGAAUUUAUCUCAACGUACGACCCUUGUAAAAGAACUACUAACCAGAAUCAGUGCACUUCUACGUGAUAAGGUUCCCUUAAACUCUCCUGCAGAGUCUUGCCUUUUGCUCUGCAUUUUUUCGUGUGGAUGUGAGCUUAUAGAUAGCUCUUUGGUCUCACUGAGAGAUGUUUAUAUAAGGCAUCUCGACAGUCUAAUGAAAGGCGGGAUUUCAGGCGCAAAGAUAGCGAAAACUGUAAUGGAAGAAUGCUGGGAAACAGGAUUGCCUUGGUGGGAGGUUUUAAAGACUAGGAAGCAACAUAUCAGCUUUGCAAUUUAG
rnacentral:tRNA from 1 species